rnacentral:rRNA from 1 species
AUUGAACGCUGGCGGCAUGCUUUACACAUGCAAGUCGAACGGCAGCGCGGGGCAACCUGGCGGCGAGUGGCGAACGGGUGAGUAAUAUAUCGGAACGUACCCAGAAGUGGGGGAUAACGUAGCGAAAGUUACGCUAAUACCGCAUACGAUCUACGGAUGAAAGUAGGGGACCGCAAGGCCUUAUGCUUUUGGGGCGGCCGAUAUCUGAUUAGCUAGUUGGUGAGGUAAAGGCUCACCAAGGCGACGAUCAGUAGCUGGUCUGAGAGGACGACCAGCCACACUGGAACUGAGACACGGUCCAGACUCCUACGGGAGGCAGCAGUGGGGAAUUUUGGACAAUGGGCGCAAGCCUGAUCCAGCAAUGCCGCGUGAGUGAAGAAGGCCUUCGGGUUGUAAAGCUCUUUUGUCAGGGAAGAAACGGUAGAGGCUAAUAUCCUUUGCUAAUGACGGUACCUGAAGAAUAAGCACCGGCUAACUACGUG